UACGUAGGUGGCAAGCGUUGUCCGGAAUUACUGGGCGUAAAGCGCGCGUAGGCGGCUUUGUAAGUUAGAGGUGAAAGCCCGGAGCUUAACUCCGGAACUGCCUUUAAGACUGCAUCGCUAGAAUCGUGGAGAGGUGAGUGGAAUUCCGAGUGUAGAGGUGAAAUUCGUAGAUAUUCGGAAGAACACCAGUGGCGAAGGCGACUCACUGGACACGUAUUGACGCUGAGGCACGAAAGCGUGGGGAGCAAACAGG
rnacentral:rRNA from 1 species